GAGGGUAUAGCUCAGCAGUAGAGCACGUGCUUACUAUGCUCAAGGUCCUGGGUUCAAUUCCCAGUACCUCCA
rnacentral:tRNA from 1 species